rnacentral:lncRNA from 1 species
UAAUUUUCAUGAAUAAUCUGAACAUAAACCCACAAUUCAUCAGAUCCCAAGAAAUGCACCAUACGAAAGAGUUACAUCGGAUAGAUGAAAACGAAGAUGCAAUAAUACUUGUAGUGAAUAACAAGAGAGAGAUAUAGCCAUCUAGAUACUAACUACAUACCCGUAGGUCUAUGGUGAACUACUCACGUAUCAUCAAGAGGGCACCAAUGUUGAUGAAGAGGCACUCCGUGAUCGACCCCCUCCGACAGAGUGCUGGAACGAAGCUCCACAUGGGGUCGCCAUGGAACACAGACUUUCGGUGGCGUAAAAAGUGUUUCGUGGAUAUAUUUAGGGUUUUUUGGAAUAUUUGGGAAUUUAUAGAAAAGAGAACAAGGCAAUAGGGACGAUAGGGAGGCAACAAGGCAUUAGGCCGCGACAACCCCUAGUCGCGCCCUACUGCCUCGUGGUCUUCUCUUGUGGCU